GAAACUUUUAGAUCUCGAGAAUAUUCACAGUGUGUUCGACGAUUUGAUUCAGAGAGCUACCAAAUGUUUGCCUUCUAAAUCUCAUGAUAAUGACCCGUCUUCUUCUUCUUCUUCAAUUGAACCUAAUGAUUUGUCUUUGGCAAACCAAGUUUCCUUCUCCGGCAACAGCAACAGACGCCUUGAAUCUCCGGCAACCACAACUGCAGCUGCUUCUUCGUCGAGUUUUUAUAACUCAAAAGACUCUAUUAAAGCGUCCGAACUGUAUAGUAGAGACGACAGUUACUUGAAUAAGGCAAAAGCCACGUUUCUUGUGGAUGGAAUUGGUGUUGGACUUCGAUCUGGGGAUGCUUCAUCAGGGCCUAAGAUUGUUGAUUCCACCUUAAAGCCGUCGGCGAUAAGUGGUCAAGAUGGUGAGAAAUUAAGUUUGAUUAAGC
rnacentral:misc_RNA from 1 species